UACGUAGGGUGCAAGCGUUGUCCGGAAUUAUUGGGCGUAAAGAGCUCGUAGGCGGUUUGUCGCGUCGGCUGUGAAAACCUGGGGCUCAACCCCGGGCCUGCAGCCGAUACGGGCAAACUAGAAUUCGGUAGGGGAGACUGGAAUUCCUGGUGUAGCGGUGAAAUGCGCAGAUAUCGUAAGGAAGACCAGUGGCGAAGGCGGGUCUCUGGACAGUUCCUGACGCUGAGGCACGAAGGUCAGGGGAGCAAACGGG
rnacentral:rRNA from 1 species